rnacentral:ncRNA from 1 species
CAACCUCAACUCAUAUGGGGACUACCCCCUGAAUUUAAGCAUAUUAAUUAGGGGAGGAAAAGAAACUAACCAGGAUUUUUCUUAGUAGCGGCGAGCGAAAAGAAAUCAGUUCAGCACUAAGUCACUUUUGUCUAUAUGGCAAACGUGAGAUGCAGUGUAUGGAGCGUCAAUAUUCUAGUAUGAGAA